rnacentral:RNase_P_RNA from 1 species
GAGAGCAAACCGCCGAUGGCCCACGCAAGUGGGAUCAGGUAAGGGUGAAAGGGUGCGGUAAGAGCGCACCGCGCGGCUGGUAACAGUCCGUGGCACGGUAAACUCCACCCGGAGCAAGGCCAAAUAGGGGUUCAUAAGGUACGGCCCGUACUGAACCCGGGUAGGCUGCUUGAGCCAGUGAGCGAUUGCUGGCCUAGAUGAAUGACUGUCCACGACAGAACCCGGCUUAUCGGUCAGUUUCACCU